rnacentral:rRNA from 2 species
AGGGAUUACCUCAGUAACGGCGAGUGAAGCGGUAAAAGCUCAAAUUUGAAAUCUGGCUCUUUUAGAGUCCGAAUUGUAAUUUGUAGAAGAUGCUUCGGGUGUGGUUCCGGUCUAAGUUCCUUGGAACAGGACGUCAUAGAGGGUGAGAAUCCCGUAUGUGACUGGAUACCUAUGCUCAUGUGAAGCUCUUUCGACGAGUCGAGUUGUUUGGGAAUGCAGCUCAAAAUGGGAGGUAUAUUUCUUCUAAAGCUAAAUAUUGGCCAGAGACCGAUAGCGCACAAGUAGAGUGAUCGAAAGAUGAAAAGCACUUUGGAAAGAGAGUUAAACAGUACGUGAAAUUGUUGAAAGGGAAGCGCUUGCAAUCAGACUUGCACUUGGUGUUCAUCAGGGUCUCGUACCCUGUGUACUUCAUCAAGUUCAGGCCAGCAUCAGUUUGAGUGGUUAGAUAAAGGCUUAGAGAAUGUGGCCCUCUUCGGGGGGUGUUAUAGCUCUAGGUGCAAUGUAGCCUACUUGGACUGAGGACCGCGCUUCGGCUAGGAUGCUGGCGUAAUGGUUGUAAGCGACCCGUCUUGAAACACGGACCAAGGAGUGUACCUAAUAUGCGAGUGUUUGGGUGUUAAACCCAUACGCGUAAUGAAAGUGAACGCUGGUGAGAACCCUUAAGGGUGCAUCAUCGACCGAUCUUGAUGUCUUCGGAUGGAUUUGAGUAAGAGCAUAUUGGGUGCGACCCGAAAGAUGGUGAUCUAUACGUGAAUAGGGUGAAGCCAGAGGAAACUCUGGUGGAGGCUCGCAGCGGUUCUGACGUGCAAAUCGAUCGUCAAAUUUGCGUAUAGGGGCGAAAGACUAAUCGAACCAUCUAGUAG